rnacentral:lncRNA from 1 species
GAACAGAGGCAGCUACAAAGGGUGUGACUGCAGGCCCUCCUUAACUCCUCUUGGAUGCUGCCAGUGGAUGUGAAGGGGACUGACUCCAAUUGCUCGACUUCAAAAUAGCCCUAACGUGGUCUGGCAAGACACAGAGGCGCAAUUCAUAGCGAGCACAUAAUGGCUGCAGAUUGCCCACUUUCUCAGGAUUAGCAAGGAUCUCCUUUCCUUCUCCAGUAUGAUACCUGGAAUUGGGAACCUUACCCAGGACACCCUGUGGUGCUUCAGUCAAGUGAAAGGGACCAUCGACAUUGGAGUCACUGAAGGGGCCAACUUCCAUGGAGCAGAUGACAAAUUCCAUAUGAUGGAUAAUGGCAGAACUGUGGGAGCUGGAGGAGCCGCUGAGUUACAGGAUAUGGAGAAAAGCAGGUGGGUCUUGUGAGAUAAGAACACCUCCUGAAGACAGAGGCUAAGAGUAGAGAGUAGUGAGAAGUAAUGAUAAGUGAGCUCCUAGAAGAAAAAUCUAGUAGAGGCAAAAGAGCUUCAGAAAGGAACACCAUAGUGGAAGCACUGACUUUGACCCUUCCUAGAACAGCUCAGCUGUGUCACAGAGGGUAAGUCAUACAGACCCUGAAUCCUCUGAUUCUCUGUGUAUGUUUUUCCCUCUAUCACCUUUUGAACAAAAACUUUUUUUUAAUGUAUUGAGCUAUGUGCUUAUAAAAGAGAGUUGGUGACCACCCUUGGGGGAAAUGUUCCUGCCAAAUAGUGACAUUUCUAAAUGCUAUGAGAGGAGACAAUAAGUCGAGAUACUGAACAGAUUCCCAAAUUUCACUAAGAACUUUCAUAUUUCUGGUGUCAAGAGGGAAUCACUGACAAGAGCAACACAUGCUGAAAGGAAAAUAAAGGGAACUUCUCAGCAAAGACAGUGUUUUUCAUUAACACACAAAUCUGUGUUGUGAAUCACUAAAUAGGGAUUAUUAUGUUUUAUAAAAGGGUUAAAGAUGAAAUGAGACCAUUUGGCCAGAUAACACUGGAUUAGCAGGGACCAAUUGGGAAAAGGUCAAAAGAGUUCAGAUUAAAAAAAAAAUUGAAGAGACCAAGAAAUACCCUACCCCAUUCCAUAAAAAAUGAGGCAAAGGAAGAAGAGGAGGAGGAGGAGGAAUCCAGGAUAUAAUGGUAUUGAAAGAGCACAGGUGUCUAAGGAAACAGUGGUGUCAGAAGUCUAAAAGCAAGGGCUCUAGCAAGAUUGAUAAGUUAAAAGAUUUCUUGGAGCAGAAUAUAAGAGGACUCUGGUAGAAUAUUUUAGGGACAGAACUAUUCAACAACCAAGUGUAGAAGAUAAAAAUAUACAAAAACAAGGUCUUUUUAUAUAACAAUGAAAAAUUACCUAUAAUAAAAAUAGAAAAAACUGAAUUAGAGAUUUUUUUGCUAUAUUUUUUAUUACAAAAAAAUGUUACCUGUCACUCCGUAUGGAACUGAUAGAAACUUAUAAGAGAGUAAUUUUCAAAUAGAAAAUAUUAAGUAAAAACAAAUAAGCUUCUU